GCCUACGUGACCGAACUGGACCACUAUCGCGAGCGGAAAUGGAGUUCGGGUGUACCAGGGCGACACCUGCACAGGGGUCAGCGGAUCGCGGUUAGCGUUGUCCACGUUUCCGACGGCCCGUUCUGGCUUUGUGUGCGUUCGCUCGUCGGUUGCACGCACACCGAGACCCCGGACUGUUAUCUACCACAACAUACACCGAAACCGAACAACGACACAGACAGCUCCGUCCCAUUAUUGAUAAGCCAGCCGCGGUAACUAGCCGCGAGUACCGAUGACGAACACCCGGUUCUAAAGAGAGCUGGUGGACGAGGACCACAUUCCUCCGGGGCCACUUGAAGCCUGGGCCUGGGGGCGAGCGCUGGCUUAAACACCAAAGAGGAAGAAAAACCACCCGGCCAACAACCUGACGUCAGACGAGUCAAGAGGGCUUUUGCUCAUCGGUUCACGGUACACGAUUAGCACCUAGCAGGGUGGUGCUUUUUGCUGUUGAUUUUGCAAACAGGGAAGUGGACGAGGCCAUCGGUGUGUCGUCGGUGGUCGGUCGGUACUGUUAAAUCCCUUCUCCACAUACACGUGACCACUUGUCGCGCUUUCGGGAAGGGUAUAGGGAUUGUUGCCUGCUGAACCACAAAUAAGUCAUCAAUAACGUCGUCAACAACUGAUGUACUUGCUAAACACGAAACGUUUUAAUGCCCUGUAUAUGAAGGUACAGGUAGGCCACUGAGUUUGUUCUAAAUUUCAUGCUAAUUAAGCAACCAAUGAUUAAGCACUACGGCCCGAGUCGUUCGUUCUGAAUAAAAAAACCAAUGCUUGUUUAAAUUCUUGCUUUUUUCUGGCGUAUCUAUGUGUGGCUGGGUGCGCACAAGUAUCGAACUUUCCCAGUUCUCCAUUAACAAUGUAGAACUAAUGCACGGUUCGCGAUAAAACGUCUUCGGUUAGCUGGUUCGCGCAGUUUAAAAUCGAGUAUCAAAUCGAUAAAAAUACAACGCACACCGUAAGCGCACCAACGGAACACAUGGGACGCGCGACACGCCACGGGACGCUUGUUGAGGUGCGGUGCGUCGGCUCUGUGUCAGCACAUUCGAUCCUCGCGGCACAAAACCGGUCCAAUGUUCAAACGGGCCAGCAAACCAUACUCGCGUCCGGUCCCGUCUCGCCUCCCUCUUAUGGUAAGGGAGCAACCUUGACAGAGGUCAAGAAUUUAUCAUGCAACGGACCCCCGGACCGGACGGGCGAGCUUCUUCGAUAUGCUGCGCGCUAUUUAUUUAGUACACGAACCGCACUUCCCGCACAUUGCUCCGCAGCGCUCGCUAGACACGGCCGAGGCGCCAGUCGGACCUCGCAGCAUCGCGCUGUGACUUCUUGUCUUGUCUAUCCCGCAACAGAUCAUCCGCAGCAGCAGCCCUCGGCGAGUGUGUGUGUGUGACUUACCUCUCGUAUUUCAAAGAAUGCGGUGCAUGACCAUUCGCUGCUUCCCAGUACGCUUCCAUGGUGCUCUUGGGUUCCGCUUUGCGCUGCAA